rnacentral:rRNA from 1 species
UACGGGGGGGGCAAGCGUUGUUCGGAAUUACUGGGCGUAAAGGGCUCGUAGGCGGCCAACUAAGUCAGACGUGAAAUCCCUCGGCUUAACCGGGGAACUGCGUCUGAUACUGGAUGGCUAGAGGUUGGGAGAGGGAUGCGGAAUUCCAGGUGUAGCGGUGAAAUGCGUAGAUAUCUGGAGGAACACCGGGGGCGAAGGCGGCAUCCUGGACCAAUUCUGACGCUGAGGAGCGAAAGCCAGGGGAGCAAACGGG